CACAGAGUUAGCCGAUGCUUAUUCCCCAGAUACCGUCAUUGCUUCUUCUCUGGGAAAAGAAGUUCAGGACCCGUAGGCCUUCUGCCUCCACGCGGCGUCGCUGCAUCAGGGUUUCCCCCAUUGUGCAAUAUUCCCCACUGCUGCCUCCCGCAGGAGUCUGGGCCGUGUCUCAGUCCCAGUGUGGCCGUCCGCCCUCUCAGGCCGGCUACUGAUCGUCGGUUUGGUGGGCCGUUACCCCGCCAACUGCCUAAUCAGACGCGGACCCAUCGCAUACCACCGGAGUUUUCCCGCUGUGCCAUGCAGCACUGCGGGCAUAUGCGGUAUUAGCAGCUGUUUCCAGCUGUUAUCCCCUGGUAUGCGGCAGGUUAUCCACGCGUUACUCACCCGUCCGCCACUAAGCCUCCGCACGCUUCCUACCGAAUAGUCCGUGUCCGGCGCUCCGUUCGACUUGCAUGUGUUAAGCACGCCGCCAGCGUUCAUCCUGAGCCA
rnacentral:rRNA from 1 species